UGCUACCACUUGAAGGAGGAGAUAGC
rnacentral:piRNA from 1 species